UAGCCUUCGGGAUGGAGUAAGGAGGCUUGAAAAAUUUGCAGCUGCAUGAGGGAGGGAAAAAAGGGAGAGAAGUAUUUAAAAAGAUACAUUUUACAGAACAAUGCUUAUACUCUUUCACGGUGAACAACACUAUUCACCUUACAUAGCACAUGUGAUUUCACUGCAAGGUCGCAUUUUGCAUCUUAAUAUUGAGUGCCUGCGGCUCUGGUGUUAGAGAUCUCACAGAUGCAGGUCCGGGCAGCAGAAUUCAGCUUGCAUGCGGCCAUGGUAAGCCAUUGUCUUUCGGCUUCU